rnacentral:rRNA from 1 species
GAUGAACGCUGGCGGCGUGCCUAAUACAUGCAAGUCUAGCGAACGGACGAGAAGCUUGCUUCUCUGAUGUUAGCGGCGGACGGGUGAGUAACACGUGGAUAACCUACCUAUAAGACUGGGAUAACUUCGGGAAACCGGAGCUAAUACCGGAUAAUAUUUUGAACCGCAUGGUUCAAAAGUGAAAGACGGUCUUGCUGUCACUUAUAGAUGGAUCCGCGCUGCAUUAGCUAGUUGGUAAGGUAACGGCUUACCAAGGCAACGAUGCAUAGCCGACCUGAGAGGGUGAUCGGCCACACUGGAACUGAGACACGGUCCAGACUCCUACGGGAGGCAGCAGUAGGGAAUCUUCCGCAAUGGGCGAAAGCCUGACGGAGCAACGCCGCGUGAGUGAUGAAGGUCUUCGGAUCGUAAAACUCUGUUAUUAGGGGAGAACAUAUGUGUAAGUAACUGUGCACAUCUUGACGGUACCUAAUCAGAAAGCCACGGCUAACUACGUG